rfam:Canis lupus familiaris chromosome X, whole genome shotgun sequence.
AGCUUUGCACGGUGGCAGUAUUGUAGCCAAUGAGGUUUAUCCGAGGCGCGAUUAUUGCUAAUUGAAAAGUUUUUGCACAAAUAUGUCCGUAUAUACAUUCUUUUUUUUAAGAUUUUAUUUAUUCAUGAGAGUGA